CCUACGGGAGGCAGCAGUGGGGAAUUUUGGACAAUGGGCGCAAGCCUGAUCCAGCAAUGCCGCGUGAGUGAAGAAGGCCUUCGGGUUGUAAAGCUCUUUUGUCAGGGAAGAAACGGUGAGGGCUAAUAUCUCUUGCUAAUGACGGUACCUGAAGAAUAAGCACCGGCUAACUACGUGCCAGCAGCCGCGGUAAUACGUAGGGUGCAAGCGUUAAUCGGAAUUACUGGGCGUAAAGCGUGCGCAGGCGGUUUUGUAAGUCUGUCGUGAAAUCCCCGGGCUCAACCUGGGAAUUGCGAUGGAGACUGCAAGGCUAGAAUCUGGCAGAGGGGGGUAGAAUUCCACGUGUAGCAGUGAAAUGCGUAGAGAUGUGGAGGAACACCGAUGGCGAAGGCAGCCCCCUGGGUCAAGAUUGACGCUCAUGCACGAAAGCGUGGGGAGCAAACAGGAUUAGAUACCCUGGUAGUCCACGCCCUAAACGAUGUCUACUAGUUGUCGGGUUUUAAUUAACUUGGUAACGCAGCUAACGCGUGAAGUAGACCGCCUGGGGAGUACGGUCGCAAGAUUAAAACUCAAAUGAAUUGACGG
rnacentral:rRNA from 1 species